GGCCUAACACAUGCAAGUCGAGGGGCAGCGGGGAUAAGCUUGCUUAUCCGCCGGCGACCGGCGCACGGGUGCGCAACGCGUAUAGAAUCUGCCCUGUACUGGGGAAUAGCCCAGAGAAAUUUGGAUUAAUGCCCCAUGGUAUGUAUUAGCGGCAUCGCUUAUACAUUAAAGGCUACGGUACAGGAUGACUAUGCGUCCCAUUAGUUAGUUGGUAAGGUAACGGCUUACCAAGGCAGCGAUGGGUAGGGGCCCUGAGAGGGGGAUCCCCCACACUGGUACUGAGACACGGACCAGACUCCUACGGGAGGCAGCAG
rnacentral:rRNA from 1 species